AGGCUCGGUGGUGUAGUUGGUUAUCACGUCAGUCUAACAACCUGUUAGGCACACUGAAGGUCCCGAGUUCAAACCUCGGCUGAGUCA
rnacentral:tRNA from 1 species